rnacentral:rRNA from 1 species
AGGCAACCUGCCUGCAAGACUGGGAUAACUACCGGAAACGGUAGCUAAUACCGGAUAGCUGGUUUUCUCGCAUGAGAGAAUCAUGAAAGACGGAGCAAUCUGUCACUUAUGGAUGGGCCUGCGGCGCAUUAGCUAGUUGGUGAGGUAAUGGCUCACCAAGGCGACGAUGCGUAGCCGACCUGAGAGGGUGAACGGCCACACUGGGACUGAGACACGGCCCAGACUCCUACGGGAGACAGCAGUAGGGAAUCUUCCGCAAUGGACGAAAGUCUGACGGAGCAACGCCGCGUGAGUGAUGAAGGUUUUCGGAUCGUAAAGCUCUGUUGCCAGGGAAGAACGUCUUGGAGAGUAACUGCUCUAAGAGUGACGGUACCUGAGAAGAAAGCCCCGGCUAACUACGUGCCAGCAGCCGCGGUAAUACGUAGGGGGCAAGCGUUGUCCGGAAUUAUUGGGCGUAAAGCGCGCGCAGGCGGCUAUGUAAGUCUGGUGUAUAACCUCGGGGCUCAACUCCGGGUCGCACUGGAAACUGUGUAGCUUGAGUACAGAAGAGGAGAGUGGAAUUCCACGU